GUCUCUUGAUGCGCAUUGUCGUUCAAACUCAGUAUGCUCCCUGUGGACGAAAUGUAUGCCCGUGAUGGAUUGGUAAUAAUGUUGAAUCUGGUGGUACCUAAAUCUCCCCAUGUGUGAGGGGGCAUCGUUUGGGACCAGUUCCAGUAGGAGUUUAAGUUUUGUUGUUUCAUGUACGUCCAGCUCUACGAAAUCCCUUGGCGUUACUCCUCCCGCUACCUCCGGGUUGUGAGUUAGAGAUGUCAGGG